UGCUUUAAAUACAAACAAAAGUCAGGUGUGA
rnacentral:piRNA from 1 species